rnacentral:rRNA from 1 species
AGUGAACGCUGGCGGUAGGCCUAACACAUGCAAGUCGAACGGCAGCACAGUAAGAGCUUGCUCUUACGGGUGGCGAGUGGCGGACGGGUGAGGAAUACAUCGGAAUCUACUUUUUCGUGGGGGAUAACGUAGGGAAACUUACGCUAAUACCGCAUACGACCUACGGGUGAAAGCAGUGGAUCUUCGGACCUUGCUCGAUUGAAUGAGCCGAUGUCGGAUUAGCUAGUUGGCGGGGUAAAGGCCCACCAAGGCGACGAUCCGUAGCUGGUCUGAGAGGAUGAUCAGCCACACUGGAACUGAGACACGGUCCAGACUCCUACGGGAGGCAGCAGGGGGGAAUAUUGGACAAUGGGCGCAAGCCUGAUCCAGCAAUACCGCGUGGGUGAAGAAGGCCUUCGGGUUGUAAAGCCCUGUUGUUGGGAAAGAAAAGCAGCAGGUUAAUACCCCGCUGUUCUGACGGUACCCAAAGAAUAAGCACCGGCUAACUUCGUG